UAGGGCCAUACCACUCUGGACACACCCGAUCUCAUCUGAUCACAGAAGCUAAGCACGGUUGGGGCUGGUUAGUGCUUGGAUGGGAGACGUUCCAUGAAAAUGGGCAAACCCCCUCU
ensembl:rRNA 5S_rRNA 5S ribosomal RNA